UACAGGGGGCCCGAGCGUUAAUCGGAAUCACUGGGCUUAAAGGGUGCGUAGGCGGAUCAGGAAGUGUUUCGUGAAAACCCCCGGCUCAACCGGGGAACUGCGGGGCAAACUCCUGAUCUUGAGGGAAGUAUGGGCGGACAGAACUAUCGGUGGAGCGGUGAAAUGCGUAGAUAUCGCCUGGAACGCCGAAGGUGAAACAGUCUGCUGGGGCGUACCGACGCUGAGACACGAAAGCCAGGGAGCGAACGGG
rnacentral:rRNA from 1 species